rnacentral:lncRNA from 1 species
AUAACAUUUUUCAUGCAAAAUAAAGUAAAUCGAACACUCUUACUUCAAACAUUGAAUCUAUCUCACCAUCUUCUCAUAAUAUGUCGUGUACAGAAGAAAACUUGAACUUAGGGGGAGAUGUACAAAACAAAAUUACAAAGGAGAUGUACACUCUAGGAGGCCAAAAUCAAAGUAUAGAGACUUUCGCACCUGAAGCACCAAGAGAGUCGAAACCAAUGAUAGCUCCAGACCUUUGUGAGAUCACUACUGAUAAGUUUGAAUCUCUCGAUAUGAAUUUUCCUCUCUCAAAAACAAACUCGAUCAUGUAUUUUUCACUCUAACUCAAAAUUCAUAUAAUAUAAUGCUUUAGCUACAGGGUUUUGUGCUUUUAUAUCCAAUCUAGAUAGUAUAGAAAUCCCUAGUAAUAUUCAAGAAGCUGUGGAUAUUCCAAAAUUGAAAGAAGAUAAUGGAAGAAAUGAGAACAUCAAAUAAAUAUGAAACGUGGGAUGUGGUAGAUCUACCAAGAGAAAAAUAGCUUGUGGUUUGCAAAUAGGUUUUCAAUGUGAAAUUUAAAGCAAAUGGAACAAUCGAAUGGGAUGCUCGCCUUGUUACAAAAGGAUAUACACAAACAUAUAGUAUUAACUAUAUAGAGAUGUUUGCACCUGUGGUAAAGUUUAAUAAAAUUCAAGUUCUCUUGUCUUCAGCAGCUAACUUGGAUUGGCUUCUUCAAUAACUGGACAUUAAGAAUGAAUUCCUAAAUGGAGAAUUAGAAGAAGUCUUCUUGAUAUUACUACCUAAAUUUAGUAAAGAGAAUGAAGACGGGUAUGUAAACUCAAAAAAUCUCUUUAUGAUCUCAAACAAUCACCUAGAGCAUGAUUCGAUAGAUUCACAAAAGUAGUAAAGUGUUAAGAAUAUUGACAUUGUGAAGAUGGUACGAAGACUAUUAAUUGUAUACGUCAAUUACAUAAUCCUAAUUGGAGACAAUAUAGUAAAAAUGGAAAGACUAAAGUAAAGCCUAGCCAUCAAUUUUGAAGUAAAAUAUCUCGGAUGAAUGUGGUACUUCUUGAAAAUGGAAGUUGCAAGGUCAAAAAGGGGUUUUGUUAAGACAUUGGGAGAAAAAUAAAAGACAAAACCAGUUGAAAAAGACAGAUAUCAAUAACUUGUUGGCAAGUUAAUCUACCUAGCAUAUUUUAAGCCUCACAUUGCAUUGCAUUCACAAUUAGCGUGGUGAACCAACACAUGCAUUCACCAGCAGAAUCUUACUUGGAAGCGGUAUAUUGAAUCUCACAUCUAUGUUUGAAUACAAUGAGCAAGAUCCGACAUGAGAAUCAAAUUCUUACUCGUGAAAUAGUGACUUACUUCGGCAUAAUGAUUUUGAUAAGGAUCCAACUCUCUCUCCCAAAAGCCCAGGCUUGAUGGUGAUUGAAUCCCACAACUAUUAGACCUUAACAAAACCCCACUGCCCCUAAUUCGACGUCCACGACGGCCCACUCCAAGAUAACCUUCGGUUUACCCGAUCAACCCUUCUUUGGUUGCUCGUAUUCGGCACUUCUUUUGGGUCGCCCCUUCCGAUAUUCGAACCUGUGACAUGUGUCUACUCUAAUACCAAUUGAUGGGGACCCAACCAUCUCUCCCAAAAGCCCAGGCUUCAUAGUGAUUGAAUCCAACAAGUAUUAGACCAUAACAGAUUUUUAUGAAUCAAACUAGCACACUCAUAAUGCUAGUGUACUUUAAAAUGGCGAUUUCUGUCAAUCAAGCUACUUAAGUACAAUGACAUCCUUUACAACAACGGUUUAUGUGCCUUUAUAGUUGGCCUCGACGAGAGAGUACAUCUUGACAUUUAAUACAGCUCAACAUGACGUAUCCCAAUGUGAUGUUAUCAAAUAAACUACCAUAGGCACAACAAGCACCCUUAGGAAAUGGUUGAUCAAAAGAAAUGCUACAACACAUUAAUCUUGGUGAAGUACCUCUCUGAGAUUAUCAACAAACAAGAUGAAAAUGACCAUCAACGGCUCAUCUACAUAUGGAGAAGUCAAAAUGAAGAUCACAUAUUAAUCACAAUUUUCUCUCUCAUCUUUAUUUAACUUUUUCACCUUAACGAGGAUGAAACCCAAAAGGUAGAAGCUUGAUGAAAAGAGAUAAAAUCAAGACAUGAUCUCCUUAGAAUUCGAAAGAAUGUUAAGACUUGCUUCAUGCAAAGGAAAGAUUUGUUGGACUAGUUAAAGACUAAAAGUGGAGGAUCUUGAAGCGAAGGACUUCCAAGUCAGCAAUUGAAAAUGAGAAGAGGAAUGCUCAUAGUCAUAGCUCCAUAUCUUUAGAAGGGGACAUGUUAAACAAGAACAAUCUGAAUGAGAAGAGGAAUCCUCACAAUCAUAUGUUCAUAUCUUCGAAAGGGGACAUCUUGAACAAGAACAAUUUGUCUCUCAUAUUUCUUGAAGGUUUCAUUUGAUAGUGAUGGCAUCGAGUGGCAAUAAAUAUUGAUUGAAGAGGAUGGAUAAGUUUGGAUACAUUGUGGGUUAACCGAG